rnacentral:rRNA from 1 species
GACGAACCGUGCGAACGUUGUUCGGAAUCACUGGGCUUAAAGGGCGCGUAGGCGGGCAUUCAAGUCAGGGGUGAAAUCCUCCGGCUCAACCGGAGAACUGCCUUUGAUACUGGGUGUCUUGAGUGAGGUAGGGGCAUGCGGAACUGAUGGUGGAGCGGUGAAAUGUGUUGAUAUCAUCAGGAACUCCGGUGGCGAAAGCGGCGUGCUGGACCUCAACUGACGCUGAGGCGCGAAAGCUAGGGGAGCGAACGGG